GCAAGUCGAACGGUAACAGAGAAGAGCUUGCUUUUCUGCUGACGAGUGGCGCACGGGUGAGUAAUAUAUAGUUAAUGUGCCUCGAAGACUGGGAUAGCCACUGGAAACGGUGAUUAAUACUGGAUACUCCUUCUAAUCAUAAGAUUAGUCGGGAAACGUUUUUUCGCUUCGAGAUCAGACUAUAUCCCAUCAGUUAGUUGGUAGUGUAAGAGACUACCAAGGCAAUGACGGGUAGCGGGUUUGAGAGGAUGAUC
rnacentral:rRNA from 1 species